AAACGUUAAAUAGAUUUUCUAUGCCCGGCUACGGACUGGGAAGAGUGUCGUUUU
rnacentral:tRNA from 1 species